rfam:Planctomycetes bacterium SM23_65 WORSMTZ_16122, whole genome shotgun sequence.
GGGGGCGUAGCUCAGACCGGGAGAGCGCCGCGUUCGCAAUGCGGAUGUCACGGGUUCAAAUCCCGUCGCCUCCA